ensembl:lncRNA novel transcript, antisense to C10orf112
AGGAGCUGAAGGGACCAGCUUGGCCGUCAGUUGCAAGGGUGUGAGGCAGAAGCAACACAAAAGAUCUUGAUAUGAAGCAAUUAUUUUUGGUCUUAAACUGCUGGGACUCCAGAUGACCCAGACCACGGUCAGCAGGCAGAAGCCAGAGAUGACAUCUCACUAUAUUGCCCAGGCUGGUCUUGAACUUCUAGCCUCAAGCAAUCCUCCCACCUCAGCCUCUGAACGUACUGGAAUUACAGAUGGAGCAACUGAGAUUCUUCCCCAACUAGACUAUAAGUUCUCUGAGGGAUAAGGAACAUGUCUGGUUUCCUCAUCUCUCUGUCACAGCACCCUGUGAAUGCCUAGAAGACAAAUGAAAUGGGUCAGCAUCUGACAUACUGCAUAAAUCACUGAACCAAUAUUUUCUAAAUGUAACAUGCAUGAUGGUACAAAAUCACACAUAGAUGAAAAUCAACUGGUCUUUGAAGAACUUUGAUUCAUUAGUGAGCUUGAAAACCCAACACAAUAAACAGAUAGUGGAAGUGGAAGGAGUAUCCCUAAGGAUGCAUUUAAGGAGAAAUGAUGUGACAGAAGAUUUGAAAGCAAAAAAGAAUCUAUCAGGAAGAUAAGAAAGCAAUUAUUAAACAAAAAUUAAGAAGCCAAUCGCCCUCCCAAGUUUCUACCCCUUGGUAACAUUACUGAUUCACACUAGUCAAAAGUGCUGAAUAAUUUGCUACAUGCCAUUGGAAAACUAUAUAACUUACUACUAAUAAAACACCUCACUUCUUUUUACUGUCUUUCUUCAUUUACCCAAGUCACCUCUUUUAAGAGCCAUCUUUGAUUUGCCUACAACACAUUCAUCUACACUGAUUGCUUGUACAAGAAAACAAUGCAACCCAGCAAUGUCAGAGACUGAAAGGUUGUCUUCUUGCUGUGUAAGAUUUACUGUGAAUAGAGGGAGGAUGUGGAAAAACGCUACAACCAUUGCUCCAGGGACUAUCUCUGCCAAACAGAGAUAUUAUACUGACGAAAUGAUAAUGGUGAAAUAGCUGUCAGACCAAAUAAUUAGAAUAUGGAGCCGUAAUACAGUAAAGUAGUCUUCAUAUAUUUUAUACAGUUUGUAUUGUUCUAUAGGUUGCUUGGAGUUUGUGUCCAGUGAAAAUGGAUUUAGAACAACCUGGGAUACUUAGUAAUAACAACGCACAAACAUGUGUAUACACACCAAAGAAGUGUGCAUUAUUCAAUAAAUGUGUUCCUGAUAUGUUGCAUGUAAACUGAUUUUGUAUGGUCAAAUAAUAUCUUAAAUGAUCAAGGAAUUGAUUAAAGAAAUAUGAGAUAUUAGUUACAAAAGGAAAUCAUUUUGAAAUACACGUGAAAUUUUAAAUCAUGUUUCAUCAAUAAAUAUGAUUAUUACUUUUUUAAAAA